rnacentral:rRNA from 1 species
CGCAAUGGGCGAAAGCCUGACGGAGCGACGCCGCGUGAAGGAUGAAGUCCCUCGGGACGUAAACUUCUUUUAUGAGGGAGGAAAUUUUGACGUGUACCUCAUGAAUAAGGGGCUCCUAACUCUGUGCCAGCAGGAGCGGUAAUACAGAGGCCCCAAGCGUUACCCGGAUUUAUUGGGUGUAAAGGGUGCGUAGGUGGUUUUGUUAGUCUAUUGUUAAAUCUCCCGGCUUAACCGGGAAUCUGCAAUGGAAACGGCAACACUAGAGGAUGUGAGAGGUUUGCGGAACUCAAGGUGUAGGGGUGAAAUCCGUUGAUAUCUUGGGGAACACCAAAAGCGAAGGCAGCAAACUGGCACAUUCCUGUCACUCAAGCGGGAAAGCGUAGGUAGCG